UACGGAGAGUGCAAGCAUUAAUCGGAAUUAUUGGGCGUAAAGGGCGCGUAGGCGGAUUGUUAAGUCAGAUGUGAAAUUCCGAGGCUCAACCUCGGAGCUGCAUUUGAAACUGGCAGUCUAGAGGACUGACGGAGAAAACGGAAUUCCACGUGUAGCGGUGAAAUGCGUAGAUAUGUGGAAGAACACCUGUGGCGAAAGCGGUUUUCUAGUUAGUAACUGACGCUGAGGCGCGAGAGCAAGGGGAGCAAACAGG
rnacentral:rRNA from 1 species